rnacentral:rRNA from 1 species
UUUCCGGUUGAUCCCGCCGGACCUGACUGCUAUCGGAUUGAUACUAAGCCAUGCUAGUCUUUGUAGUAACACAAGGCAUACGGCUCAGUAACGCGUAGUCAGCCUACCCUAUGGACGGGGAUAAUCUCGGGAAACCGAGCAUAAUACCCGGCAGACCACUUAUCCUGGAAUGGUUAGUGGUUAAAAUGAUUCGUCGCCAUAGGAUGGGACUGCGGCCUAUCAGCUUGUUGGUGAGGUAAUGGCCCACCAAGGCGAUUACAGGUACGGGCUCUGAGAGGGGAGGCCCGGAGAUGGGUACUGAGACAAGGACCCAGGCCCUAUGGGGCGCAGCAGGCGAGAAAACUUUGCAAUGUGCGAAAGCACGACAAGGUUAAUCCGAGUGAUUUCUGCUAAAGGAAUCUUUUGUUAGUUCUAAAAAUACUAGUGAAUAAGGGGUGGGCAAGUUCUGGUGUCAGCCGCCGCGGUAAAACCAGCACCUCUAGUGGUCAGGAGGAUUAUUGGGCCUAAAGCACCCGUAGCCUGUUCUAUAAGUUUGCGGUUAAAUCUAUACGCUCAACGUAUAGGCUGCCGUAAAUACUGUAGAACUAGGGAGUGGGAGAGGUAGACGGUACUCGAUAGGAAGGGGUAAAAUCCUUUGAUCUAUUGAUGACCACCUGU